rnacentral:tRNA from 1 species
GCCGGAUUAGCUCAGUUGGUAGAGCGCCACUCUUGUAAAGUGGAUGUCAGCGGUUCGAGUCCGCUAUCCGGCC